AAAACUUGAAAAUAUUAUGAAAAUCGGCCAAGAAAUACGGAUGAUAUCAGCGUUUUAAACUACUAAUUAG